rnacentral:rRNA from 1 species
UACUUCCAUAUCAUCUUGAAUGUGACCCAUCUCAUCUGAUAAUGGAAGCCAAGCAGGUUUGGAACUAGUAAGAACUUGGAUGAGCAAUAUCGAAUACAGGAGUGACAGGAC